GGAAUAUUGGUCAAUGGGCGAGAGCCUGAACCAGCCAAGUAGCGUGAGGGACGACGGCCCUACGGGUUGUAAACCUCUUUUUCGCGGGGAUAAAGUGCGCCACGCGUGGCGUUUUGCAGGUACCGCGUGAAUAAGGACCGGCUAAUUCCGUGCCAGCAGCCGCGGUAAUACGGAAGGUCCGGGCGUUAUCCGGAUUUAUUGGGUUUAAAGGGAGCGCAGGCUGAUUAUUAAGCGUGACGUGAAAUGUAGCCGCUCAACGGCUGAACUGCGUCGCGAACUGGUAGUCUGGAGUGAGUUCGAUGUUGGCGGAAUUCGUGGGGUAGCGGUGAAAUGCUUAGAUAUCACGAAGAACUCCGAUUGCGAAGGCAGCCAACAAGGCCUUUACUGACGCUAAAGCUCGAAGGUGCGGGUAUCGAACA
rnacentral:rRNA from 1 species